rnacentral:rRNA from 1 species
GAUGAACGCUGGCGGCGUGCUUAACACAUGCAAGUCGAACGGAAAGGCCCUGCUUUUGUGGGGUGCUCGAGUGGCGAACGGGUGAGUAACACGUGAGUAACCUGCCCUUGACUUUGGGAUAACUUCAGGAAACUGGGGCUAAUACCGGAUAGGAGCUCCUGCUGCAUGGUGGGGGUUGGAAAGUUUCGGCGGUUGGGGAUGGACUCGCGGCUUAUCAGCUUGUUGGUGGGGUAGUGACUUACCAAGGCUUUGACGGGUAGCCGGCCUGAGAGGGUGACCGGCCACAUUGGGACUGAGAUGCGGCCCAGACUCCUACGGGAGGCAGCAGUGGGGAAUAUUGCACAAUGGGCGGAAGCCUGAUGCAGCAACGCCGCGUGCGGGAUGACGGCCUUCGGGUUGUAAACCGCUUUCGCCUGUGACGAAGCGUGAGGGACGGUAAUGGGUAAAGAAGCACCGGCUAACUACGUG